AUGAAGGCUCUAUUCUGGAAUAUUAGGGGUUUCGGCGCUAGGGGGCGCAGGGACCAGCUAAAAGACUUGGUUCGUUCUGAAAAUGUUGAUAUCAUUGGUCUUGUCGAGACUCUCAAACCCUCCUUCUCCCCAAAUGUACUCUCGGCCGUUGCUGGGACAGAGAGAUUCGAUUGGAACUUUGUGGCCCCUGUUGGUCAUUCGGGUGGUAUUCUUCUUGGCACUAAGAAAGAUGUUUUUGAUUUUGUCGCUUUUGAUCAUGGCAUUUUUUGGGCUAGCACGGUGGUUUCUCACUGAAUCCUUAACUCUUUACUAGAAAUCAUGGUGGUAUAUGGUCCGGCUGAUCAUUCUAUGCCAUAUAUUUUUCUGGAUGAACUUCGCAAUAAAAUUGAAUCCUGUGAGCUGCCACUAUUGAUUGGGGGAGACUUCAAUUUGAUGCGCUACCCUUCGGAUAAGAGUACCUCUAACUUCUCAUGGCCGCUGGCCGACGCGUUCAAUGCUUUCAUCAGAGACACGGCGAUCCGUGAAAUCCCUAGGGUCGGGGCCCAUUACACCUGGACGAAUCGCCAAACUUCUCCCAUUCGUUCUGUCCUUGAUCGGGUUUUCUUGUGUCCUACUUGGGAUUCGUUGUUUCCCCGUGUCAUUCUUAGAGCCCUGGCUAUAGUGGGCUCGGAUCACUCCCCUCUGAUUCUUGAUGAUGGUACUCGUUCGGUUGCCUUCCCGAGGUUUCAGUUCGAUGCCUCUUGGCUCCACGUGGAGGGUUUCGCUGACUUGAUUGCGCAAAAGAUUUCGUCUUUCCUGUCUUCUAACUGCCGAUCUUUUGGUCCGAUGGACGACUAG
rnacentral:rRNA from 1 species